UUAAAAAGCUCGUAGUUGAACCUUGGGCCUGGCCGUCCGGUCCGCCUCACCGCGUGUACUGGCUCGGCCGGGCCUUUCCCUCUGUGGAACCCCAUGCCCUUCACUGGGCGUGGCGGGGAAACAGGACUUUUACUGUGAAAAAAUUAGAGUGCUCCAGGCAGGCCUAUGCUCGAAUACAUUAGCAUGGAAUAAUAGAAUAGGACGUGUGGUUCUAUUUUGUUGGUUUCUAGGACCGCCGUAAUGAUUAAUAGGGACAGUCGGGGG
rnacentral:rRNA from 1 species